UUUCUUCGGAGAGUUUGAUCCUGGCUCAGGACGAACGCUGGCGGCGUGCCUAAUACAUGCAAGUCGAGCGAAUCGACGGGAGCUUGCUCCCUGAGAUUAGCGGCGGACGGGUGAGUAACACGUGGGCAACCUGCCUAUAAGACUGGGAUAACUUCGGGAAACCGGAGCUAAU
rnacentral:rRNA from 1 species